rnacentral:rRNA from 1 species
CUACGGGAGGCAGCAGUCGAGAAUCUUCCGCAAUGGGCGCAAGCCUGACGGAGCGACGCCGCAUGUGGGAUGAAGGCCUUCGGGUUGUAAACCACUGUCGUAGGGGAGGAAAGGCCGGUGCAGAGCCGGUUUUGACCUAUCCUAGGAGGAAGGGUGGGCUAAGUUCGUGCCAGCAGCCGCGGUAAGACGAACCACCCAAACGUUAUUCGGAAUUACUGGGCUUAAAGGGUGCGUAGGCGGCGCGGAAAGUCAGGUGUGAAAUCCCUCGGCUCAACCGAGGAACUGCGCUUGAAACUGCCGUGCUCGAGUAAGACAGGGGUGAGCGGAACUUCGGGUGGAGCGGUGAAAUGCGUUGAUAUCCGAAGGAACACCGGUGGCGAAAGCGGCUCACUGGGUCUUUACUGACGCUGAUGCACGAAAGCUAGGGGAGCAAACGGGAUUAGAAACCCGUGUAGUCC